AUGGCCAUAUCACGUUGAAACCCCGGUUCUCAUCUCUUCACCGAUGUUAAGCAUUGUUGAGCCUGAUCAGUACCUAGAUGGGUGACCGCUUGGGAAUACCAGGUGCUGUAAG